ACCGUGCUCAACCUGAGCCGCACCAAGCGGCAUCUCGACCGCGCCGUGCUGCUCGGCUUCUGGGAGACACUGGACAAGCACAUGAUGAAGAAUAAACCUCAUCUUAGAUUCUAGUUUCUAAUAUUAAGCUUUAUAGAGCUAUAAAAUUAUUGAUGAUACCGUGUGUAUAAUAUUAUUAUUAUGAUUGCCUUCGGAGCGAAGAGUUUUUAUAGUUUUUAAGUCGAAUGUCCUAUUAUAUGCGUCUAGAUUAUCUAGAGAAAUUACCUACUGUGUACAUUACGAAUAGUUUCUUUGAAAUCACUUAUUAAUAUUAUUAUGUAAUGUUGCUCCUCGAAUCUUAUUAGCUUAGUCCACACUUGUAGCAAAUUAAUUUACCCUUAGGUAUAUUACAUGUUUCGUAUACAUAAAAUACAAAUGUGGACUCAGUUCAGGCAGAGGUCAACCUAUGUCAGCCUUUCUCAAAUAUUUGAAGUGGCAGGGGCGGCCUGUCGGGACACAUACUGUAAGCAUAUCUAAAAAAGGCUAUUUGUUAAAAUAAUGUCAUUUUCUGUGAAUUUUAUGUUAAUUCUACUCAGAAUCACGAGCUCUUUUGAACCUAAUUCUAUUACCAUAAUUCCUUAAAAAUAAAGGGAAGUUUUGGAGCUCUUAUGUUUAUGAUGAAAUUGAUGAAAUGAGCUGUUGAUUCUACUGACAUAAAAUUCAAAAAUAAGAAAAGUGGAGUAUGUUUUGAAGAAAUACUUAAGGUAAUUGAUGCCUAUAAGUAAAAAUGCCCAAUGCUUCCCUCCUCUCUCAAUGCUCAAGUACCUAUAUUCUUGAAAGAAGGCAAGAUACUUAAUAAUUGCGCGGUACAAUGUUUCAUAAACGCAUUUAUGUCUCUUUUAUAAUGGAGCUCCGUAAAAUUGAUCAUGGUACAUACAUCGUGUCAUAAGUAAACCUAAAAGUUUUCCUGGCAAAAACGAGUGCUUGAUAAAAUGAAACAUCUAUUAUCGGUAAGAGUCAACUUAUUGAUAAAUAAAAAAUAGUUACAAGAACGCAAACCGACAUAUAUUUUCAUUGCUAUGUUUAGUUUACAAAUACAGAAAUACUAGUCUCUUUCUUUCGCUGCCACCGUUCUUUUUCACUAGUUACGUCUGUCUGUAUGUAUUUAUUAAUAUGCAGCGACAGCAUAUAUGUACAUAGACUAAGCCCUGAGUACAAACAUGGUUUCCAAAACAGUUAAAACUCUCACAGUUAUCCCUUCUCCAUAAAUGUACAUUCCCGUCCCCGGCUGUGAUAAAGUCCUGACGUCGUAUAAUGUUUUUUACAAAUAAAAUAAAAUAUAAAACUCCCAAUCACUACGCCUUAUAAAACAAAGUAUCCCGCCGCGUCUGUCUGUUUGUGUGUUUAUAUGUUCGCGAUAAACUCUAAAACUACUGAACGGAGUGAUGGAGGAAGGUUUAGGGGUAUUUGUUUACCCAUGCGAAGCCGGGGCGGGUCGCUAGUAUAUAAAUAAGAUAGCCAACGUGUCAUGUCUUCGCGGUUGGUAUUGUGUAACAUCGAUGGUAGGUAUGAUGAUUAUUCAUUUCAUGAAUCACUCGUUAUUGCUAGAAAAACGUGAAGGUUUAUAGGGAUUAAUCUCACUUAAUCGCAAAUUAUACAAAUGCCCCUUUACGGCUACCAUCAGUUUGGCAUUGACAUAAACGCUAUCGUGAACGUAAUUUACUUUCUAUAUAUCUCUUUCGCCCACCUGACCUGUCCGCCCUCGGAAUACCCAACUGGCGUGAAGUGGCGCAGAAUAGGGCAGAAUGGCGCUCUCUUGUGUCAGAGGCCAAGAUCCUCUUUGGGUCACUGAGCCAGUGAUGUAUGUAUGUAUAUCCAAAUGUCUCUUUCGCACUAAUAUGUCAGUACGAGCGAGAUGCAUAGAAAGUAAAUUACGUUCACGAUAGCGUUUAUGUCAAUGCCAAACUAAUGGUAGCCGUAGUUAAGAGACACGUUUAGCAUUAUGAAUAAGAACGAAGUUCAUAUAGACCUUUAGUUUUACGUAUGUCUCGAAACUAUGUACAUCUGUAUAGUCUGUUACCCAGUAGGGAAAUGCUGGUUUGUAGGCUAAAACAAAAUUGUGCGUUUACGUGCACUUUAAUGGAAAUGGUAUCCCUGUUCGAAUAUAUCCGUUAAGUCGAAGAGUUAUCUUUAGAUUGAUAAUCGUAUAGAUAUUAUUACUACUUCAUUGAGAUGUUCAGUUGGUAUACAUUAAUACUGCACCGUAAAGCCUUACUUUGUUUGGGACGGACUGACAGUUUUUGGAAUACAGUAAACUGGAGUAAUUAGACAGUCAAUAUUUUUUUAUAAAUAACCCUUGCACAUCUCUUUAUGAAAUUGUCAGAUAGUUAUAAUUCCUACAACUCUAAAGGGCUAAACUCUUUCUGGCCACUAAUAUAUUUUUCACCACGCCAGCUCGGAAAGACUUACGUUGCACUUCAAAAACUGAUAGCAAAGUUGCAUUUUAUUCACACGUGAGGCAAAGUAAUCAAAUGCAAAUUUUGAGUUGUUUUCUUAUGUUUGCUAUUAGAAUUGACUUUUAAAUGAUGAUUUUGGAUGAUAAAUAUUUAACAACAUUCAUUUGGAUUUGAUUUUGUUUGAUAUUUUACAUUUAAUAUUUGCUUCGGGUUGGUGUGGUGAAAAUUUUUGUGUUGCACUCACAAUUUUGAAACCCUCGAAACUCUCAAGAUUCCAUUUUUCGAACCACUCGCUACGCUCGUGGUUCAAUUUUGGAAUCUUUCGCUUGCUCGGGUAUCAAUAUUAGCACGAGCGGUUAAACAACAACUUUGCCCCCUUGUAAAACAAAUAACUAUUCUGCUUGAAUGUGGAUCCAUUCUAAUGUGAGUUAUUUCGAGCGUCCUUUUUGAAUACGAGUACCAUUCUUGUGAUAAGACUUGUGUCAUACUUAAGGGGAAAAGGGACAAAGUUUUUGUUUACUUGUGCUGUAAGUUUAUCAAAAUUAGCAUUGGGCUUUUUCAACAAUCUGCCUUAGAAAACCAAAUCAAUCACUGUUAAUUAGGUAUAAAUAUGUCCAACAUUUCAGUAAGUGUAAAUUAUGGCCGCAGUACCUCAUUGCUUAAAAUUGUAACUUCAAAUUGAUCACAUUAUAGUGUAAAUUGUCAAUCGCCACCGGCUAAUAACUGGCCACACUAAACUAAAAUAGUACAUUUCGAUGCUAGUGCGGAAGGUAUGUCAUUACUUCACGAGUACCGAGAUAUCUUGCCACGAGCCGCAGGCGAGUGGCAAGACUCGGGACGAGUGAAGAAUGACAUUUCCGCACGUGUAUCGAACGACGUUUUUUAAUACAGUUGCGAAAAAAUAAGAAAAACAUUGUUAAUCGUACACUAAACAAAAGUGGUAACAGUGACAGCUCGGUUAGACGUCGUCUUUAAGUAUAUUAUAUCUAUGGGCGUUUGGCAGCUAUUCCGUUCCAUUCAGUCAACUUAUUAAGAACGGAAUUUUCAAUAUUGAAUAUUAAAAAAUAAACGUGUUAUAAUGAUGAAGAGGUAAGUAAUUAAAUAUGAAAUAUGUAAUAUUUUUCGUAUUCUUACAUUAACGGUAGGUUUUUAUGCUGAUUACGACGUUUAAAGGAAACUAAUAUUAACACUCAUCAAUAAGUAGUCGUGAAUUGGAACAAGUAUAAAUUUAAAAAAAUUGGAAAAGUAAAAAGCACUAGUUCGAGAUAACCAACUUUCCGCACGCUAAACAGCUACGUAAAGUAGCACUUUUUGAGCAACUGUAUUAAAAAUGAAUUUUAUUUACCUAACAAUUCAUUUUAGUGUAAGGUUUAUAACUGACAUCCGUUCUAUAACUAGCCACCUAUAUAAUACACAUACUAUAGAUGGUCAAGCAAAUCUUGUCAGUUGAAAAUGGCGCGAAAUUCAAAUUUUCUAUGGGUUGAUAUUCUGCUUCACGCCUACUUUUUUCAAAUUUGCCGCCUUUUUCUACUGACAAGAUCUGCUUGACCCAGUAUAAAAUGAUUUCUGUUUAUAGGUGAAUAGAAUUCAUUUUUAGUUUUGGGUGGCCAGUUACUAAAUAGUGGCAGUAAUCAGUAAUUGAUGAAUUAACCUAUAUGUCACAAAGAAAACUUUUUAUUAGUUAGGAAUAUAAGCCUGAUACUGUCGUUACGAACUAAUGUGUGUACGUCAUGUGUGGUCAAAGAAAAACGUCAGUACCGGUCAUGUGAACGAAUAAUAUCAAAACAUUGUAUAUUGGAAUACUACGCAAUCCUUCGCCCUUUUAUUAAUUCAAAUGUUUUAUUGUAUUCUUAAUAUUUAUUUCUUGCACAACACUUCAACCUUUUGUGGUAAUGAGUUUUUCGGAACUUUGUACGAAAUAUCAUUUGAUAUUUACUUACCAGUCGCUUUUCGGUUUAGGAAAACAUCGUGAGGAAACUGGACUAAUCCCUAGGCCCCUAUAAGGCCUAGUUUACCCUCUGGGUUGGAUGGCACGGAUGGCAGUCGCUUUCUUAAAAAUGAGUACCUACGUCAAUUCUUGGGAUUAGUUGUCAAGCGGACCCCAGGCUCCUAUGAGCUGUGGCAAAAUGCCGGGAUAACACGAGGAAGAAGACUCCAUGUGUCAAAGUCUCCUUGCCAGUAGAAUAAAUUAUACCAUUGUAAAUCUGCAAGAUGGCGGUGGCAAGAUAAAAACUUGACAGGCUACAGGUGAAAAUCAAUGUUAUUUGGUGGGUAUCGUCCCAUUCGUAUUUCGUCAAGUUCUUAAAAUUAGUCCUAUUCUGCUUUCGUCACAAUCGUCGGUGGCUUUCAAUGUAGAAUGAGUGACGAAAGCAGAAUAGGACUAAUUUAAAAACUUGACGAAAAACGAAUGGGACGACCCAAGGCGAUACCAUUUUGUGAACCUGACUACGGUUACACGUUCACAAAAUAAGAUUGAUGUUCAGUAAGUACCUAGGUAGUGUUGGGUUUUGUUAUACUGUUUUCUAAUUCACACUUCUUUUUGUUCAGCGACAAGUCAAAAAAUUAAAGAAACAAGCUCCUAUUAUACUAAUAUCUUGCAUGCAUUAUGUGUCAUGUACCUAUGAAAAAACAAAACCUUGUUAUUUUAUGUUUGUGUUGAGCAGUACAUACCUACCGAGAGAAUUAUCAACGAAAGGCAUUCGAUCUGUUAUAUAAUAAGAACACCAAAUAGCGUAAACUACCCUAUAGACGGCACCCAACCAAUGGUUGGCACCUUCAACCAUACUUUAAGGCAGCAGUGCUGACUUUCCUUCAAAAAUAGGUGCCAAUAACGGGUAUUUGUCAGUGCCAAUCAUUGGGUAUUUUACACUGUUGUAUCUCGACAAGAAUAAAAAAGAAAUUGACUGUCAAAUGUAGCUUUAACAGUAUUUCAAAUAAAUCUGGCAAUGAAUAUAA